rnacentral:tRNA from 1 species
GAGGGUACAGCUCAGUGGCAGAGCGUGUGCUUAGCAUGCAUGAGGUCCGGGGUUCAACUCCCAGUACUUUCA